AUUGAACGCUGGCGGCAGGCCUAACACAUGCAAGUCGAGCGGAUGACGGGAGCUUGCUCCUUGAUUCAGCGGCGGACGGGUGAGUAAUGCCUAGGAAUCUGCCUGGUAGUGGGGGACAACGUUUCGAAAGGAACGCUAAUACCGCAUACGUCCUACGGGAGAAAGCAGGGGACCUUCGGGCCUUGCGCUAUCAGAUGAGCCUAGGUCGGAUUAGCUAGUAGGUGAGGUAAUGGCUCACCUAGGCGACGAUCCGUAACUGGUCUGAGAGGAUGAUCAGUCACACUGGAACUGAGACACGGUCCAGACUCCUACGGGAGGCAGCAGUGGGGAAUAUUGGACAAUGGGCGAAAGCCUGAUCCAGCCAUGCCGCGUGUGUGAAGAAGGUCUUCGGAUUGUAAAGCACUUUCAGCGAGGAGGAAGGGGUAGUAGUUAAUAGCUGCUACUUUUGACGUUACUCGCAGAAGAAGCACCGGCUAACUCUGUGCCAGCCGCCGCAGUAACAC
rnacentral:rRNA from 1 species